AUUGAACGCUGGCGGCAUGCCUUACACAUGCAAGUCGAACGGCAGCAUGAUCUAGCUUGCUAGAUUGAUGGCGAGUGGCGCACGGGUGAGUAAUACAUCGGAACGUGCCCUUUAGUGGGGGAUAACUAGUCGAAAGAUUAGCUAAUACCGCAUACGACCUGAGGGUGAAAGUGGGGGACCGCAAGGCCUCAUGCUAUAGGUGCGGCCGAUGUCUGAUUAGCUAGUUGGUGAGGUAAAGGCUCACCAAGGCGACGAUCAGUAGCUGGUCUGAGAGGACGAUCAGCCACACUGGGACUGAGACGCGGCCCAGACUCCUACGGGAGGCAGCAGUGGGGAAUUUUGGACAAUGGGCGAAAGCCUGAUCCAGCAAUGCCGCGUGUGUGAAGAAGGCCUUCGGGUUGUAAAGCACUUUUGUCCGGAAAGAAAUGGCUCUGGUUAAUACCUGGGGUCGAUGACGGUACCGGAAGAAUAAGGACCGGCUAACUACGUG
rnacentral:rRNA from 1 species